rnacentral:rRNA from 1 species
UGGGGAAUUUUGCGCAAUGGGCGAAAGCCUGACGCAGCAACGCCGCGUGGGUGAUGAAGGUCUUCGGACUGUAAAACCCUGUCGUCAGGGACGAAGGUGGCAGUGUUAAUAGCGCUGUUACUUGACGGUACCUGGAGGGGAAGCCCCGGCUAACUCUGUGCCAGCAGCCGCGGUAAUACAGAGGGGGCAAGCGUUAUUCGGAAUUAUUGGGCGUAAAGGGCGCGUAGGCGGUUUUUUAAGUCAGAUGUGUAAUCCCCGAGCUUAACUUGGGAACUGCAUCUGAGACUGGAAGGCUAGAGUACUGGAGAGGGUGGUGGAAUUCCUCGUGUAGCGGUGAAAUGCGUAGAGAUGAGGAGGAACACCAGUGGCGAAGGCGGCCACCUGGACAGUAACUGACGCUGAGGCGCGAAAGUGUGGGUAGCAAACAGGAUUAGAUACCCUGGUAGUCCACGCUGUAAACGAUGAACACUUGGUGUGGAGGGAGUUGACUCCUUCCGUGCCGGAGCUAACGCGUUAAGUGUUCCGCCUGGGGAGUACGGUCGCAAGGCUG